UACGUAGGGGGCAAGCGUUGUCCGGAAUUAUUGGGCGUAAAGAGCUCGUAGGCGGCUUGGUAGGUCUGCUGUGAAAACUCGGGGCUCAACCCCGAGACGUCGGUGGAAACCACCUGGCUAGAGUCCGGAAGAGGAGAGUGGAAUUCCUGGUGUAGCGGUGAAAUGCGCAGAUAUCAGGAAGAAUAUCCGUGGCGAAGGCGGCUCUCUGGUACGGCAAUGACGCUGAUUGUGCGAAAGCUAGGGGAGCGAACGGG
rnacentral:rRNA from 1 species